GAAAAUUCUCAGCAGAACUGCCAUCAUAAAAGUUUACUGCUCCAUAAGUUCAGUGUCUGAAGUACUUUUGAUUUUGCCUGAAAUCAACUGAAAAGACGAUGUUACGUAAUAUAAAAAAUUAGCAUCAGCUAAAUUAAUGUGGAGCAAGUCUGCAAAGAGGGAGAACACGAGCGAGAGCGAGGAAAAGAGCGCAAGAGAGA